rnacentral:ncRNA from 2 species
GGUGCUCUCAAUCACUUGGGUGCUCAAAAUGAGCUUAAUAGGGAACCCUGUGCAAAUCAGGGACGGGCCCGCCGCUGUAACCGGGGACGAAUGCCGCAUGAGGCCACUGCCCGGCACUUACUUUUCUAAAUUUUUUCCUUCAAGAAAAAAGUAAGUGCUGGGUGGGAAGGCGCGGUGGAGGAUGAUCCGGAAGUCAGAAGACCUGCCUGAGUGAGCGCGUAAGA